ACGUUGGUGCUUUGGUGUUUUGGUACUUUGGUACUUAGUGUUUAGUGUUUAGUGCUAGUGUUAAUAGCACGAGACUUAAAGGACAGUGUUGUCUCUGUUACAAAAACACGCACGUUUCAUGUUAAUUGGUGAAGUAACUUUACAUGUGAGAACGACGAAUAUAAUUUCUCUUUAAUUGACAGAACAAAUUUUCGACCAAAU